CGCUGGCGGCGUGCUUAUACACAUGCACGUCGAACGAGCUGAGACCUUCGGGUCUCGAUGCUAGUGGCGCACGGGUGAGUAACGCGUGGGAACGUACCCUUUAGUACGGAAUAACCCAGGGAAACUUGGGCUAAUACCGUAUACGCCCUUCGGGGGAAAGAUUUAUCGCUAAAGGAUCGGCCCGCGUCUGAUUAGGUAGUUGGUGAGGUAACGGCUCACCAAGCCUACGAUCAGUAGCUGGUCUGAGAGGAUGAUCAGCCACACUGGGACUGAGACACGGCCCAGACUCCUACGGGAGGCAGCAGUGGGGAAUAUUGGACAAUGGGCGAAAGCCUGAUCCAGCCAUGCCGCGUGAGUGAAGAAGGCCUUCGGGUUGUAAAGCUCUUUCGGCGGGGACGAUGAUGACGGUACCCGCAUAAGAAGCCCCGGCAAACUUCGUGCCAGCAGCCG
rnacentral:rRNA from 1 species